rnacentral:rRNA from 1 species
AUGAACAGGAGCGUCUGCCAUCACCUGCUCGCCCAGUGCAGAUCCCUGCGAGAGCUCGAGAGAAUCCACGCCCGGGCCCUUGUCAAUGGCCUCCAUCCCAGUAACCAGUCCAUCUCGUGCAAAAUCUUCCGGUGCUACGCCGAUUUCGGCCGACCCGCCGAGGCGCGCCGGCUGUUCGGCGAGAUCCCCUGCCCGGACCUCGUCUCCUUCACCAGCCUCAUGUCGCUCCACCUCCAGCUGAGCCAGCACCGCGAGGCCAUGUCCGCGUUCUCGCGCGCCGUCGCCUCCGGCCACCGCCCCGAUGGCUUUGCGGUCGUCGGCGCCCUCUCGGCGUCCGGCGGGGCUGGCGAUCUGCGCGCUGGUUCAGGGGUGCAUGGGCUCAUUUUCCGUUGCGGGUUGGGCUCUGAGCUGGUCGUCGGCAACGCUCUGGUCGAUAUGUAUUGCCGGUGCGGGAGGUUCGAGGGUGCGCUAGGGGUGUUCGACGAAAUGGCGGUGAAAGACGAGGUCACCUGGGGCAGCAUGCUGCAUGGGUAUAUGAAGUGUGUUGGUGUGGAUGCGGCGCUGUCCUUCUUUGACCGGAUGCCGGUGAAGAGCACGGUUUCCUGGACAGCGUUGGUGACUGGCCAUGUUCAGGCCAAGCAGCCCAUCCGGGCUCUAGAAAUUUUUGGUAGGAUGGUGCUGGAGGGUCACCGUCCUACUCAUGUCACAAUUGUAGGUGUACUGUCUGCCUGCGCUGACAUUGGCUCUCUAGAUCUUGGGCGUGUCAUUCAUGGGUAUGGAAGUAAGUUCAAUAUCAGCACAAAUAUUAUUGUUAGCAAUGCUCUGAUGGACAUGUAUGCAAAGAGUGGAAGUAUAGAGAUGGCUUUUGCCGUGUUCGAAGAAGUGCCGUUGAAGGACGCAUUCACAUGGACAACCAUGAUCUCGAGCUUCACUGUCCAGGGUGAUGGGAUAAAAGCUCUUGAGCUCUUCGAGGACAUGCUAAGGUCUGGGGUUGUUCCAAAUAGUGUGACCUUUGUUUCAGUUUUGUCAGCCUGCAGCCAUGCUGGGUUAAUACAGCAAGGCAGAGAGUUAUUUGACAAAAUGCGUAGGAUCUACAACAUUAAACCACAGCUUGAGCACUAUGGAUGCAUUGUUGAUUUGUUAGGACGGGGUGGGCUAUUAGAGGAAGCAGAAGCCCUGAUAUAUGAUAUGGAUGUGGAACCUGAUACUGUUAUAUGGAGGUCACUUCUUAGUGCAUGCCUUGUUCAUGGCAAUGAUAGAUUGGCUGAGACUGCCGGGCAGGAAAUUAUAAAGAGAGAACCAGGGGAUGAUGGGGUUUAUGUGCUUCUUUGGAAUAUCUAUGCCUCAUCAGAUAGGUGGAAAGAAGCUCUGGAUAUAAGGAAACAAAUGUUGACAAGGAAUAUCUUCAAAAAACCAGGGUGUAGUUGGAUUGAAGUCGAUGGUGGUGUCCAUGAAUUCUUGGUACAGGACAAGGCGCAUGAUGCUCGAAGGGAAAUUUAUGACACCUUGGAAGGAAUUGAUAGGCAGUUAAAGAUGGAUCUUAGAUCAUCUGCACUGGAAGAAAACUCAUUAAUCUGUGUGGAUGAGGAACUCUUAUUCUAA